rnacentral:rRNA from 1 species
CAGGAUGAACGCUGCGGCGAUGCCUAAUACAUGCAAGUCGAACGGAUAUCUUCGGAUAUGAGUGGCGAACGGGUGAGUAACACGUAGGGAACCUGCCUGCAUGAGCGGGAGAACUUACUGGAAACGGAAGCUGAUACCGGAUGAGCAAAGAGGAGGCAUCUCUUUUUGGAAAAGGGGACAAGAGUCCCGCAUGCAGAUGGACCUGCGGUGCAUUAGCUGGUUGGAGAGGUAACGGCUCACCAAGGCGACGAUGCAUAGCCGGCCUGAGAGGGCGGACGGCCACACUGGGACUGAGACACGGCCCAGACUCCUGCGGGAGGCAGCAGUAGGGAAUUUUCGUCAAUGGGGGGAACCCUGAAUGAGCAAUGCCGCGUGAGCGAGGAAGGUCUUCGGAUCGUAAAGCUCUGUUGCCGGGGACAAAAGGCAGAAAGAGUGGAAAGCUUUCUGAGUGAUGGUACCCGGCGAGGAAGUCACGGCUAACUACGUG